rnacentral:snRNA from 1 species
AUCGCUUCUCGGCCUUUUGGCUAAGAUCAAGUGUAAAAAUACAAAGAAAUGGCUUUUUUUAAGGUUCAUUUAAAAAUGUUUCUCUGAGAAUGAGAGUGCUCCCCCUUUCUCAGCACAGUUUUU